CAGGCUUAACACAUGCAAGUCGAGGGGCAGCAUGGUCUUAUCUUGCUAAGGCCGAUGGCGACCGGCGCACGGGUGAGUAACACGUAUCCAACCUGCCGUCUACUCUUGGACAGCCUUCUGAAAGGAAGAUUAAUACAAGAUGGCAUCAUGAGUCCGCAUGUUCACAUGAUUAAAGGUAUUCCGGUAGACGAUGGGGAUGCGUUCCAUUAGAUAGUAGGCGGGGUAACGGCCCACCUAGUCUUCGAUGGAUAGGGGUUCUGAGAGGAAGGUCCCCCACAUUGGAACUGAGACACGGUCCAAACUCCUACGGGAGGCAGCAGUGAGGAAUAUUGGUCAAUGGGCGAGAGCCUGAACCGGCCAAGUAGCGUGAAGGAUGACUGCCCUAUGGGUUGUAAACUUCUUUUAUAAAGGAAUAAAGUCGGGUAUGGAUACCCGUUUGCAUGUACUUUAUGAAUAAGGAUCGGCUAACUCCGUGCCAGCAGCCGCGGUAAUACGGAGGAUCCGAGCGUUAUCCGGAUUUAUUGGGUUUAAAGGGAGCGUAGAUGGAUGUUUAAGUCAGUUGUGAAAGUUUGCGGCUCAACCGUAAAAUUGCAGUUGAUACUGGAUAUCUUGAGUGCAGUUGAGGCAGGCGGAAUUCGUGGUGUAGCGGUGAAAUGCUUAGAUAUCACGAAGAACUCCGAUUGCGAAGGCAGCCUGCUAAGCUGCAACUGACAUUGAGGCUCGAAAGUGUGGGUAUCAAACAGGAUUAGAUACCCUGGUAGUCCACACGGUAAACGAUGAAUACUCGCUGUUUGCGAUAUACUGCAAGCGGCCAAGCGAAAGCGUUAAGUAUUCCACCUGGGGAGUACGCCGGCAACGGUGAAACUCAAAGGAAUUGACGGGGGCCCGCACAAGCGGAGGAACAUGUGGUUUAAUUCGAUGAUACGCGAGGAACCUUACCCGGGCUUAAAUUGCAGAUGAAUUACGGUGAAAGCCGUAAGCCGCAAGGCAUCUGUGAAGGUGCUGCAUGGUUGUCGUCAGCUCGUGCCGUGAGGUGUCGGCUUAAGUGCCAUAACGAGCGCAACCCUUGCUGUCAGUUACUAACAGGUUCCGCUGAGGACUCUGACAAGACUGCCAUCGUAAGAUGUGAGGAAGGUGGGGAUGACGUCAAAUCAGCACGGCCCUUACGUCCGGGGCUACACACGUGUUACAAUGGGGGGUACAGAGGGCCGCUACCACGCGAGUGGAUGCCAAUCCCCAAAACCUCUCUCAGUUCGGACUGGAGUCUGCAACCCGACUCCACGAAGCUGGAUUCGCUAGUAAUCGCGCAUCAGCCACGGCGCGGUGAAUACGUUCCCGGGCCUUGUACACACCGCCCGUCAAGCCAUGGGAGCCGGGGGUACCUGAAGUGCGUAACCGCGAGGAGCGCCCUAGGGUAAAACUGGUGACUGGG
rnacentral:rRNA from 1 species